rnacentral:rRNA from 1 species
AGGAUGAACGCUGGCGGUCUGCUUAACACAUGCAAGUCGAACGGAGUAGAAAUACUUAGUGGCGGACGGGUGAGUAACGCGUGAGAAUCUGCCUUCAGGACGGAGACAACAGUUGGAAACGACUGCUAAGCCCCGAUGAACCGAAAGGGAAAAUAUUUAUAGCCUGAAGAUGAGCUCGCGUCCGAUUAGCUAGUUGGCGGAGUAAAAGCCCACCAAGGCGACGAUCGGUAGCUGGUCUGAGAGGACGAUCAGCCACACUGGGACUGAGACACGGCCCAGGCUCCUACGGGAGGCAGCAGUGGGGAAUUUCCGCAAUGGGCGAAAGCCUGACGGAGCAAGACCGCGUGGGGGAAGAAGGCUCUUGGGUUGUAAACCCCUUUUCUCUGGGAAGAAAGUUGUGAAAGCAACCUGACGGUACCAGAGGAAUCAGCAUCGGCUAACUCCGUGCCAGCAGCCGC